AUGGCUCAGGACGAACGCUGGCGGCGUGCCUAACACAUGCAAGUCGAGCGAGGAGAUCCUCGGGAUGAUCCUAGCGGCGGACGGGUGAGUAACACGUGGGCAACCUGCCUCAUAGAGAGGAAUAGCCUUCCGAAAGGGAGAUUAAUACCUCAUAACAUUGCAGUUUCGCAUGGAACAGCAAUUAAAGGAGCAAUCCGCUAUGAGAUGGGCCCGCGGCGCAUUAGCUAGUUGGUGAGGUAACGGCUCACCAAGGCGACGAUGCGUAGCCGACCUGAGAGGGUGAUCGGCCACAUUGGGACUGAGACACGGCCCAGACUCCUACGGGAGGCAGCAGUGGGGAAUAUUGCACAAUGGGGGAAACCCUGAUGCAGCCAACGCCGCGUGAGUGAUGACGGCCUUCGGGUUGUAAAGCUCUGUCUUCAGGGACGAUAAUGACGGUACCUGAGGAGGAAGCCACGGCUAACUACGUGCCAGCAGCUGC
rnacentral:rRNA from 1 species